UACGUAGGGGGCAAGCGUUGUCCGGAUUUAUUGGGCGUAAAGAGCGUGUAGGCGGCUUGGUAGGUCCGCUGUGAAAACUCGAGGCUCAACCUCGAGAUGUCGGCGGAAACCACUUGGCUAGAGUCCGGAAGAGGAGAGUGGAAUUCCUGGUGUAGCGGUGAAAUGCGUAGAUAUCGAGAGGAACACCAGUGGCGAAGGCGAGUCUCUGGACGACUCCUGACACUGAGGCACGAAAGCUAGGGGAGCAAACAGG
rnacentral:rRNA from 1 species